rnacentral:rRNA from 1 species
UACGAGGGGUGCAAGCGUUAUUCGGAUUUAUUGGGCGUAAAGGGUGCGUAGACGGUUUGUUAAGUCUGUUGUUAAAUUCUCCGACCUAAUCGGAGAUCGGCGAUGGAAACUGGCAAUCUAGAGUGUGGGAGAGAGAAGUGGAAUUCCCGGAGUAGCGGUAAAAUGCACAGAUCUCGGGAGGAACUCCAAUGGCGAAGGCAGCUUCUUGGUCCACAACUGACGUUGAGGCACGAAAGCGUGGGGAGCAAACAGG